CGGGCGGUCGGUCCGCGCAGCUGCUUUCUGUUGCCCGCGGCUGAGAUCCGGACGUCGACCCGCUGCCGGGGGCGACGUGGAUGUAUUGAUAUACGUGUGUUUGUGAUACUCCGGGUUCUUUGCAUUGAUCCGCGUUAUUAUUCUGCGUAUUGUUCUGGUUAUCAUUGGGAGUUUACCUUUUACGUCGGGGUGAAUACAUGUGGAUUUAUCAUCAUCUCACAGUAAGUGUGAACAUUUUGAUACUUCUUCGCUUUUCUGCACCUGUUAAAAUGUCAAAUUAAUGUCAUAUAUUCAUAUAAUCUUCACGCUGACUUUUUACUUCAAGUUGAGUUCACCAUAUCUGUGAAAAACUGUAAUAACAUGUUAUGGCAUCAGCAAAGUUCUCCAAUGUAUUUUUAAUCUGUUAAAAAUACACACAGUUCUUUCACAUAGUACAAUGUGGUAUUACCAACCGUUAUAGUUUAGCAGUCUCUCCUUCUUAAAUAACUUUUUAACCAUAAUUUACAGCCUCUGGCUUCGUGCGAUGAUUUUUGUUAAUCUAAGGAAUGAAUAUUGUUCUCUCAGUGCGAUAAAGGUGAAUGUUCGGUGUUUGGACAUCAAUCAAGCAUGCGGCCCUUUUGCAGUGAGCGCGUAGCAGUUUGACCGGAUCAAAGUAGUGAAAUCAGAUCCCGUGAGGUUCAGAGAAGAGUUCGUGUGGCGUAAAGAGAGACGUGUGGACAGGUGGGCCGAAUAAAUCUGCAGAGAAAUCUUUGUCUCCAAUCGGUGUGAAGAGCUUUUUGGUUUCUGACCGCUGCAAAACCUUCUGAGACCCAAAUAAGGUUCACAGGGAAAAAUCCACCCAGAAGAAUGAGGUUAUGAGCAUCCUUCACUUCCCUUCUAACUUUGGCCUUUUGGAUUUUGCAACAUCUGCACAGAUAAAAGAGGCCGACUGUUUGUCCUCCCGAUGGAGCUUCUCUGGGUGGUGCUGCUGCUGGAGGUGGUGCUCAUGUCCUCUGCUGCCAGAAGUGAGUAACACGAAUGCCCAAAGUGGAGAUGAAACCCUUCUGCAGCGCUUCUGCUCGUCUCCGUCACACCGCUGAGGAGGGUUUGUUUGGGACGUGCUGGCCUCAGCUCCUCCACCUUCUCCUCCACCUUCUCCUCUUUCCUGUCCCCUGGUGUGUGGGACGGCUUCAUUGAUGUGCUUUGUAAACGUCUCACUUUUCCUCGGCGAACGUGUUUGGCUCUGCGUGACCCUUUGACUGUUAUUCAGAUAGUGGCGUCCUUGUGCUCAAAGCACCUUUUAUUAUUUUAACUCAAAACGUGGAGGUAACGGAGUGCGACACGGCGCAGCACCCUCAGUGCUGCAGACGGUCCUCCGCCACGUUUCCUUCAGUGGAACCAAAGAUGACCUCGUUCCGGGGAGUCGGCGCCCCGCGCCACCGAGAUCACGCGCGAUGAUGAGUUUUUCCGGGGGAAACAAAGCUGCAUUCAGCGAGGCGAAGCCGCAGACACACGGGGCCGAAGGUAAACACCGACUCAUAGACCGCAAGGAGAUGAGAUUAGCCUGUGAGGGAUGUUUGCUGUGCAAUGCUGCAGCGGGCGCCCCCCCCCCCUCGCCGCCUGCACUCUGUCGAUGAAGCCAGGGCGCCUCGCCGAGAGUCAAGGUCAAGGAUCAUAAACUACUGACUUUUAUUGCUCAUCGCUUUAUUGGUAAAUUUGCAUUGGGUUUAUUAAAUCAGCAGACUCAUUCUUAUAGUCUACUGGACUGGAUCGGAACAAUAGAACGAGACUUGAUGAGCAGAUACCGGGGGGGGGGCCCAAUCGUUCUACAAAAGAUCGCGUCCCCCUUGUGCGACCUCGGAGUCGACGUGGACGUGAGGAGAAAACGAGCAGGUGGAGGACGGAGGGACAAAGACGGGCGAAGUGAGGAAAAAAGGAAAGGACAACGGCAGAGAAGAGAGAGAGCAGGAAGCAGACGGAGAUAAGGCUCGAGAUAGAGACGCAGCGCAGGUGUGUGUGUGUGUGUGUGUGUGUGUGUGCGUGUGUGUGUGUGCGUGUGCGUGUGCAUGUGUGUGUUUGGGGGAGCAGAGAUUGAGCAGCUGAGAGACUCGUGUUCUUCCCCGUUAGCUGGACAUCAUCCAGCUGAUGUUGGGGUCAAAGGCUAGCAGCGUGCAAUGCAUGCUGGGGAAGUGAGUUUGUGCCAACGUCCAAACGCUUUCAUCGUGCCGCACGAGACACGAGACCAACCGCCGUCCAUCCGUUGUUGACCCAACGUAAAGAGACGACAAACGAACGCACGCGAAAAUGCAUCUUCAUCAUGGAGAAGCUGGUGGGGCACCAAGGGAAGACCCCGCACACUCAUUACUGAGGAAUGUAAUUAGCACGCUAACGCUAACUGUGAUGGUCAAACAGGGAGGAGGAGGUGGAGGAGGAGGAGGAGGUGAUCCAUGACUUACAGGGUUAAUCUUUAAUGAACUUCAACCUCGCCCCCCCACUGUGUUCAGCGUUGAUUAACCAUGAUGAUGCAUCAAACAGAGCAAACGCCUCCACGUACCACAGACAGAUGCUUCAAGCGCACACCUUCACCUCCCUGUCGCACUAACAGACACACACUAUAGAACCCCCCCCUACACACACACACACACACACACACCAACCCCCUCACAGUUUUACGGGGCCCGUUACUGCUAAAGUCUAUUCGCCCUCAUUUAGAUAAAGUCAAUGUUUGCUUUGACUUUGCUAAUGGCGGCGGGAA